UACGUAGGUGGCGAGCGUUGUCCGGAUUUAUUGGGCGUAAAGCGCGCGCAGGCGGUGCGGUAAGUCUGUCGUGAAAUCUCCCGGCUCAACUGGGAGGGUGCGGUGGAGACUGCCGGACUGGAGGCACUCAGAGGCCGGUGGAAUUCCCGGUGUAGUGGUGAAUGCGUAGAGAUCGGGAGGAACACCAGUGGCGAAGGCGGCCGGCUGGGGGUGACCUGACGCUGAGGCGCGAAAGCGUGGGGAGCGAACCGG
rnacentral:rRNA from 1 species